rnacentral:tRNA from 1 species
GGGCAUAUGGCCAAACUGGACAAGGCGUCGGCCUUCUAAGCCGAUGAUUCUGGGUUCGAAUCCCAGUAUGCCCG